rnacentral:rRNA from 1 species
CCUACGGGUGGCAGCAGUGGGGAAUAUUGCACAAUGAGCGAAACCCUGAUGCAGCGACGCCGCGUGAGCGAUGAAGGAUUUCGGUAUGUAAAGCUCUAUCAGCAGGGAAGAAAAUGACGGUACGUGACUAAGAAGCCCCAGCUAACUACGUGCCAGCAGCCGCGGUGAUACGUAGGGGGCAAGCGUUCGCCGGAUGUACUGGGGGGAAAGGGAGCGUAGACGGUCCUGCAAGACAGAUGCGAAAGCCCGGGGCUCAAACCCGGGACUGCAUUUGGGACUGGAAGACUGGAGUGUCGGAGAGGCAGGCGGAAGUCCUAGGGUAGCGGUGAAAUGCGUAGAUAUUAGGAGGAACACCAGAGGCGAAGGCGGCCUGCUGGGC